rnacentral:rRNA from 1 species
AGCGAACGCUGGCGGCAGGCUUAACACAUGCAAGUCGAGCGCCGUAGCAAUACGGAGCGGCAGACGGGUGAGUAACACGUGGGAACGUACCUUUUGGUUCGGAACAACACAGGGAAACUUGUGCUAAUACCGGAUAAGCCCUUACGGGGAAAGGAUUUAUCGCCGAAAGAUCGGCCCGCGUCUGAUUAGCUAGUUGGUGAGGUAACGGCUCACCAAGGCGACGAUCAGUAGCUGGUCNGAGAGGAUGAUCA